rnacentral:rRNA from 1 species
CCUACGGGUGGCAGCAGUGGGGAAUAUUGCACAAUGGGGGAAACCCUGAUGCAGCGACGCCGCGUGAGUGAAGAAGUAUCUCGGUGCGUAAAGCUCUUUCAGCAGGGAAGAAAAUGACGGUACCUGACUAAGAAGCCCCGGCUAACUACGGGCCAGCAGCCGCGGUAAUACGUAGGGGGCAAGCGUUAUCCGGAUUUACUGGGUGUAAAGGGAGCGUAGACGGGAGCACAAGUCUGGAGUGAAAGCCCGGGGCUUAACCCUGGAACUGCUGUGGAAACUGGGCGGCUUGAGUGCAGGAGGGGUAAGCGGAAUUCCUGGUGUAGCGGUGAAAUGCGUAGAUAUUAGGAGGAACACCGAUGGCGAAGGCGGCUUACUGGACUGUAACUGACGUUGAGGCUCGAAAGCGUGGGGAGCAAACAGGAUUAGAUACCCCAGUAGUC